ACAGGAACAUGGUCUAAAACAGAGCUUGUAGGUACAGAGAACAGGAUCCCUCAGCCGGGUCCAUUCUGGGAGGCAGUGAGCCAGACACCCACAUCUGAACUUCAGAAGUGCCAGGCGAGAGGCGCAGCGGCCAGGAAGUGCCAGGCCUGUUGGUGCUGGGGCCGUGAAGUGCCAGGUCCUGUUGGUGCCGGGGCCGUGAAGUGCCAGGUCCAGAGGGGCCAGGGCCGGGAAAUGCCAGGCCUGUCAGUGCCAGGGCCAGGAAGUGCCAGGUCCAGAUGGCAGACAUGCCAAGACACAAUAUCAGCACUGUCCCCACCCCGGAGGCAGGGCUCUGAUCCCCUCCCAUCCGCCGGGUGCAGCCAAGCCCAGGUGGAACCUGCUGGCAGCCGCGGGCUGGAUCCAUCCUGCUGACAGGUGCGGCCGGGCAGGGUGGGAGCGAUGGAAGCAGGGAGCCCGUCAGGGGUUGGGGGGAUGAAGGCAGGAACAGAGGGUCCAGGGAAGCAGGGACCAUCCUGCCCCACCCAACGAAGGGGGAUCUCUGGGCUCAGGUGGUUGGAACAAGGGAAAGGGAGAGGGGGCUGGAUCCUUGCUGAGAGGGGAUAGAGGACCCAGGAGUCCUG